AAUGAACGUUGGCGGCGUGGAUUAGGCAUGCAAGUCGUACGAGAAUCGUAGCAAUACGAGGAAAGUGGCGGAAGGGAGAGGAUUACGUGGGAAUCUACCCUCAGAACUGGGAUAGCGGCGGGAAACUGCCGGUAAUACCAGAUAAUGUCUGUGGACCAAAGGUGUGAUUCCGUCUGGGGAUGAGCCCACGUCCUAUUAGCUAGUUGGCAGGGUAAUGGCCUACCAAGGCAAUGAUGGGUAGCGGGUGUGAGAGCAUGACCCGCCUCACUGGGACUGAGAACUGCCCAGACACCUACGGGUGGCUGCAGUCGAGAAGCUUCGGCAAUGAGCGCAAGCUUGACCGAGCGACGCCGCGUGCGGGAUGAAGGCCUUCGGGUUGUAAACCGCUGUCGUAGGGGAGCAAGAGAUGAGGGUACUCCCUCUGAUUUGAGCGAUCCUAGGAGGAAGGACGGGCUAAGUUCGUGCCAGCAGCCGCGGUAAAAC
rnacentral:rRNA from 1 species